AAGUCGUAACAAGGUUUCCGUAGGUGAACCUGCGGAAGGAUCAUUACAAAAUACCAGCGCCGGCCCCCCGGGGUCGCGCGCUUCUAUUUACCCACCCUUUGCCUAUGUGUACCCCAAUCGCUUCCUCGGCAGGCUCGCCUGCCGCCAGGAACCACCCAAAACCCUUGCAUCUAUACAUGAAAACUUCUGAUACCAACCUAAAAUUAUUACAACUUUUAACAAUGGAUCUCUUGGUUCUG
rnacentral:misc_RNA from 1 species